UACGGGGGGAGCAAGCGUUAUUCGGAUUCACUGGGCGUAAAGGGUGCGCAGGCGGCCGUGUGUGUCAGGUGUGAAAGCCCGGAGCUUAACUCCGGAAUUGCGCCUGAAACUACAUGGCUAGAGCAUUGGAGAGGGUAGCGGAAUUCACGGUGUAGCAGUGAAAUGCGUAGAUAUCGUGAGGAACACCAGAGGCGAAGGCGGCUACCUGGACAAUUGCUGACGCUCAGGCACGAAAGCGUGGGGAGCAAAAGGG
rnacentral:rRNA from 1 species